rnacentral:rRNA from 2 species
ACUUAAGCAUAUCAAUAAGCGGAGGAAAAGAAACUAACAAGGAUUCCCCUAGUAACUGCGAGUGAAGCGGGAAAAGCUCAAAUUUAAAAUCUGGCGGUCUUUGGCCGUCCGAGUUGUAGUCUGGAGAAGUGCUUUCCGCGCUGGACCGUGUACAAGUCUCUUGGAACAGAGCGUCAUAGAGGGUGAGAAUCCCGUCUUUGACACGGACUUACCAGUGCUUUGUGAUGCGCUCUCAAAGAGUCGAGUUGUUUGGGAAUGCAGCUCAAAAUGGGUGGUAAAUUCCAUCUAAAGCUAAAUAUUGGCGAGAGACCGAUAGCGAACAAGUACCGUGAGGGAAAGAUGAAAAGCACUUUGGAAAGAGAGUUAAACAGUACGUGAAAUUGCUGAAAGGGAAACGCUUGAAGUCAGUCGCGUUGGCCAGGACUCAGCCUUGCUUUUUUGCUUGGUGCACUUUCUGGUUGACGGGCCAGCAUCGAUUUUGACCGCUGGAAAAAGGUUGGGGGAAUGUGGCACCUUCGGGUGUGUUAUAGCCCUCAGUCACAUACGGUGGUUGGGAUCGAGGACCGCAGCACGCCUUUAUGGCCGGGGUUCGCCCACGUUCGUGCUUAGGAUGCUGGCGUAAUGGCUUUAAACGACCCGUCUUGAAACACGGACCAAGGAGUCUAACAUGCCUGCGAGUGUUUGGGUGGAAAACCCGAGCGCGUAAUGAAAGUGAAAGUUGAGAUCCCUGUCGUGGGGAGCAUCGACGCCCGGACCUGAACUUCGGUGAUGGCUCUGCGGUAGAGCAUGUAUGUUGGGACCCGAAAGAUGGUGAACUAUGCCUGAAUAGGGUGAAGCCAGAGGAAACUCUGGUGGAGGCUCGUAGCGAUUCUGACGUGCAAAUCGAUCGUCAAAUUUGGGUAUAGGGGCGAAAGACUAAUCGAACCAUCUAGUAGCUGGUUCCUGCCGAAGUUUCCCUCAGGA